UACGUAGGGUGCGAGCGUUAAUCGGAAUUACUGGGCGUAAAGCGUGCGCAGGCGGUGAUGUAAGACAGGUGUGAAAUCCCCGGGCUUAACCUGGGAACUGCGUUUGAAACUGAAAGGCUAGAGUGUGGCAGAGGGGGGUGGAAUUCCACGUGUAGCAGUGAAAUGCGUAGAGAUGUGGAGGAACACCGAUGGCGAAGGCAGCCCCCUGGGCUAACACUGACGCUCAUGCACGAAAGCGUGGGGAGCAAACAGG
rnacentral:rRNA from 1 species